CGAAAGGUGGCUGAGUUUUAGGCAUUAGAUUGUAAAUCUAAACACGAGUUAUCCUCCCUUUUGA
rnacentral:tRNA from 1 species